AUGUCGUUCAUUUGGCGGCUUGCAGCAGGGACUUGGAUUGUAUCCGGAAGCUGCUUGCGUGCGGAGCUGAUCGGCUCCAAAGGGACUCUGCUGGUUUUAAUUGCAAGGAUGGGAGGUGGAUUCCUGCAUGGAUCUAGCGUCUCCAACCUCGGCAUCCACAAGGAGGAGCGGCGACAACUCCGGACCUGUCUGUUGGUGCUGCUGAUUCUGCUUGGACGGACAUGUUGCCUCUUCCAUGUCGGCUACAUGACAGCCAUGGACGACCACCGGGACCUCCACGGCGAUGAUGAAGCCCUACAUAUGGUCGAGCUCGAUGGAACAACAAUGACUCGGUGUGGUGCAGCCGAGUUGGGCCACACCAGUGCAUCAGGAACUCUGCAUGCUGCUGUCCUUUGUCUCAUCAUCUUAACUACUAUAGUAGUAGGAGUAUUUUAUAUGCUAUUCAUUUCUUGGGCACCCAGCAUGUUUGCUAAUCAUCCAUCUGCCACAUGUUAUAUGAUCCCUACCUAG
rnacentral:rRNA from 1 species